GCUCAGUUGGUUAAGCGUCUGACUUCAGCUCAGGUCAUGGUCUCAUGGUUCGUGGGUUCAAGCCCCGCAUUGGGCU
rnacentral:tRNA from 1 species